rnacentral:rRNA from 1 species
UACGGGGGGGCAAGCGUUGUUCGGAAUUACUGGGCGUAAAGGGCUCGUAGGCGGCCAACUAAGUCGGAUGUGAAAUCCCCAGGCUCAACUUGGGAACUGCAUCCGAUACUGGAUGGCUUGAAUUCGGGAGAGGGAUGCAGAAUUCCAGGUGUAGCGGUGAAAUGCGUAGAUAUCUGGAGGAAUACCGGUGGCGAAGGCGGCAUCCUGGACCGGCAUUGACGCUGAGGAGCGAAAGCCAGGGGAGCAAACGGG